GAUGAACGCUGGCGGCGUGCCUAAUACAUGCAAGUCGAGCGAACGGACGAGAAGCUUGCUUCUCUGAUGUUAGCGGCGGACGGGUGAGUAACACGUGGAUAACCUACCUAUAAGACUGGGAUAACUUCGGGAAACCGGAGCUAAUACCGGAUAAUAUUUUGAACCGCAUGGUUCAAAAGUGAAAGACGGUCUUGCUGUCACUUAUAGAUGGAUCCGCGCUGCAUUAGCUAGUUGGUAAGGUAACGGCUUACCAAGGCAACGAUGCAUAGCCGACCUGAGAGUGUGAUCGGCCACACGGGAACUGAGACACGGUCCAGACUCCUACGGGAGGCAGCAGUAGGGAAUCUUCCGCAAUGAGCGAAAGCCUGACGGAGCAACGCCGCGUGAGUGAUGAAGGUCUUCGGAUCGUAAAACUCUGUUAUUAGGGAAGAACAUAUGUGUAAGUAACUGUGCACAUCUUGACGGUACCUAAUCAGAAAGCCACGGCUAACUACGUG
rnacentral:rRNA from 1 species